AUCUGGAACAGGCACCACAUCACCUAGCCAGAGCUUUGCCUGCUGGCUCAGCCACCUGCCAUCUUUGAGUUUGCGCUUAGUGUCUACAUCCUCCCUAAUUCCUGAAGACACAAAUCAAGCUCUCCUCUAGAGACUUCCUUGAGGACCUCCUCACUUUUCUCUGCACUCAUUGCCCCCACCAAUAGACAGCCUCUGACACUGUCUCACCACUCUCUAAAGAAACCCUUCCUACCAGCCUCUUCAACUUCCUCAUCUCCAAAGCAGAGUUUCCACAUUCACUGGUCACCACCUCCAGGCAGCAGAAUUGAACAGGCUAUUUGCUAGAUGGACUCUAGAGGGUGGGGUUUGAGUAUUGUUCUCAGUUUGGGGGCCUCAGGCAGCACUCGGAGACCAGGAGAGUCCUGUUGGACAGCUGGCUAGACAAGGUAAUGCCCAGAGAGACUCUGCACCACCUACAAUGUCAGCCUUCAUGUCCCCUCUGAAGGGCUGGCAGCCGGGCCCUGUUUCCUCACCACUGGAAUUCCCAGGCCUUGUCCUCUGCUUGUCUUUGCUUCCUGGAUAGACCUCAGCCCUCUGAAGAGAGACCUCAUUGUGGGAGAAGAGGCAAAGUGGGGCUGAAAUGCUUCCAGAUCAUUUUAAGCCCAAGCUACCAGAGAACCGGUCAAGGGCACUUCAGUUUGGGGAAUGUGAAAUUGGGAGAAGGGUGGAAGGUGCAAGCGCCAGGCUCACCGCUGCUCCCGGUGUUCGGAGGCGGAAGCGGCGCCGAGGAAAAGGGUCUGUUCGGAACACCUGAGGAACCAAGUGGCUCACCUCCGAUAGACCAGACCUGCUGGUUUCUGGACACACCCGGGCCCGGUGAUGGGUUCUCUGUUGCCCUGGAAAAGCAAGUUUGACUCAGAGCUGGAGAGAGAAGACUGUGGAAAAAAGGAAAGAGCAGAGUCUCUUCCUUUUCCAGAGAAAAUGGAGCAGCCUCUGACUUGAGCUCCUUCUAGUGAUAACGCCUGGGCUGAGAGAAGAACAGAGGAGCCAUUUCAGGGUGGUUUGGCAAAACCCCUCAAAAAAAAUCUAAAAGGAGCUGUCAUAAAAGUUUAUCCCGAUGCAAGUCCCCUGUAGGAUUCUUCAUGUGCUCAUGAAGACACGUGCCAUGGAAAUAGAAUGACCAGUUGGAGUGCCAAGACAUUUGUAGUCCUGCUCUGAAGGUUUCAACAACAGGUGCCACACCAUCUUGCCUGCCUACCGAUCUGCAUCACAUGCUGGGUGGACCCCAUCUUGCAGUGGGCCACUGAGCCUCCAUUUUGGAUUAGGUGGGUAAUUUGUCACACCCUGGGAACCAGUGGCUAAAAUAUGAGUUUCUUCUGCCCCAUAUGACCAGGUCUGUUCUUUUCCUGCAUUCCCUCUCCCCCACCUGCCAGGGGGAUCAGGACAGAGCCAGGAGGAGCACAUUCCUGUGCUCCCAAAGGCUACACUCUUGGUUGUCUUUUUAAAACCUGCAUUGGGUUGGCUUAAUUAAAAUAAUGAAAUUCUAGGAGGUGGUGUUGGAGAGGCAAAGAUGCUGCAUCCAGAGAGAGGAAAGAGGCUGCUCCGACGG